UAGCUGAAAAUUCAAAAUUAUUUACAAAAAUUUACAAUUUUUCAAAAAGAUCAUUAUCUCAAACUGAAAUUGACGUCUUAUUGAGGGGUUUUAAAUUUACACCAACACCUAAAUAUAAAAAUGAUUCUUAUGAUCAAAUAAAAGAUGUGGAUGAUUUUCAUAGAUCACUUAGGCUUAAAGAGUUUUUUAAUAAUAGUGAUCAUAAUAAUACAAACAAUUCUAUUGUAAAAAAUCAAACGUCCUUUUAUCCACCUAAACAUAGAAAUAAUACACUAGACCAUUAUAUAAAUGUUACUCGAACACUUUGCCUUCAACAUUCUCAAAUGGAAAAUGACACUAAACAUAACAUAUCAUUAAAAGAAAGAAAAGCUAUAGAUUUAUUAGCAGAAGACAAAUCCAUAAUUAUUAAAGAAGCAGACAAGGGUGGCGGAAUUGUUAUAAUGAAUACAGACUUUUAUAGAAGAAAAUUAUUAGCAAUGUUAAAUGACGUUGAAUAUUAUAAACAAAUCCCUGAUAAUGGUAGUCAAAUAACACUUUCAAAAAUACGCAAUUUACUAAAGAAAAUAAUAAACUAACUAAACAGGAAAAUGAUUUCUUAGUAAAAUUCGAAUGGAAAACAAGCCUAUUUUAUGGUCUUCCAAAAAUUCAUAAAAGUAAAAUCAUUCAGGAUGCAAUUAAACACAGCAAUUCAGAAUAUAUAGAGUUAAUGGAUCCAGACGAUUUAAACUUUCGCCCAAUAGUCGCUGGAACUAACUGUGAAACAAGUCGUUUAAGUUCUUUAUUGGAUAUCUUCUUAAAACCGUUUGUAAAAUAUGUCAAUAGCAAUAUAACAAAUAACAUAGAUUUCCUAAAACAUAUACCUUCACAAGUUCCAGAGUCAAGUACAUUAGUAUCAUUUGAUGUAAUUAAUUUAUAUUCUAAUAUACCGCAUACUCUUGGUUUAGAAGCUAUUGAUUAUUGGCUUCAAAAAUAUCCAGAUUCGGUUAAUGAAAGGUUUUCGCAACGGUUUAUAAAAGAAGGCAUAAAAAUAAUACUUGAAAAUAAUAACUUCAAUUUUGAUGAUAAGUACUACAACCAAUCUAAAGGGACUGCAGUGGGUACUAAAUUCGCGCCAACAUACGCUACAUUGGUAGUGGGAUUUUUAGAACAAAAUCUCUAUGCAAGAAUUGGAUCAAUUUAUAAUGAUGAAUUUAUUUCUUUUAUAAAAACAUUUUGGAAAAGAUUUCUAGACGAUUGCUUUAUUUUCUGGACAAAAUUUCCCUAUGAACUUCAAAACUUUUAUACUAUUUUAAACAACUUACAUUCGGAUAUCAAGUUUACAAUGCAAACAAGCACACUCGAGUUACCAUUUCUUGAUAUAUUGAUUAUAAAAAACAAUACUGAAAUUAAUACUGAUAUAUAUUACAAAGAAACUGAUUCUAAACAAUAUCUUAAUUUUACCUCGUGUCAUAAUAAACACACAAAGAUAAAUAUUCCUUUCACUUUAGCGAAACGGAUCUGCACCAUAGUUUCGAAUGAUAAACUUAAACUAAAACGUUUAAAUGAACUUAAGCAUUCACUUAUUCAAAGAAAAUAUCCACAAUCUAUUAUAAAUACAGGUAUUAAAAAAGCACUUUCCAUCCCUAAACAUGAAUUACUUUCAAAAUCAACACAAAAAGACAAGAGUAAUAUAAUUCCAUUUAUUUCAACACAAAAUCCAAAAAAUAAAGAACUGUUUGGCGUAUUAAAAAACAACAUUGACAUUUUACAAACAGACCCGGUUAUGAAUAAAAUAAUUUCAAAUCAGAAGAUAAUAAAAUGUAAGCGACAGCCACCUAAUUUAAAACGUCUGUUAAUCAAAUCUUACUUUUCAUCUCAAGAACCAAGAGUAUCCAAAUGUAAUGACUCUAGAUGCGCCCUGUGUGGUUAUAUUAUUGAAGGGAAUUCUUUUGAUUUUAAUGGCAAAAUGUUCAAAAUAAAAACUAAUAUGUCAUGUGAUAUACAAAAUGUGAUUUAUGUAUUAGUAUGCAAUGGAUGCAAACAAUAUUAUAUAGGCCAAACUGGCGAUAAACUUAGAAAUAGGCGAUCUGUCCAUGAACAACAAAUGCGAGACCCCUCAACAAGACAGAUGCCUUUAAGUAAACAUUUAGAUGAAUGUUCACAUAAUGAACCAAAAUUUAAAAUAUUUCCAUUUUAUAAGCUAUUUUCGAACAAUAUUUCAGCUAGGUUAGCAAAAGAACAACAUUUUAUACAUGUAUUUAAACCCAAAUUAAAUUUCAUUUAAUAUUUAUUGACGUUAUGACGUCAUAAUUGAUAUGACGUUAUCUCCAUGACAUUUUGACGUUGUAAUCUAUUGUAUUAUGCCCUGAUGAGCUAUGCAAAACGCGUUGGCUAAAUCAAUAUAUAUUUAAAAUCCCAGACACGUGUUUUUACUUUUAUUAUAUAAUAUUCACAAUCUGGAUUUUUACAUUUUACUUAUAUGACUAUAUAUAACGGAUUGUGCAGCGUGUUCAUGUGACCGAAGAGAGCAAAACUUGAAGAAUUGUCUGAUUCGUCGGAUUGCUCGAAAUCAAACUCGAAUGAGGAAGUCAUGGAGGAGGAUAAUAGAUAUUUCUUAAAAUCAAUAGACGAUAAACUGUCGCUGAUAUUGACCGCAAUUAACGAUUUGAGCGCGGCAAUUGCAAAAAAUAAUAAUACUGCCAUUAGGAAAGAUGACAUUGUCGCUGACAUAAAAUCAGCUGUACAUGAAAUUUCUCAAAAUAUACCGAAGCCCGAAAUAUCCGUGAACCACGAAAAUAACGAGGAAAACAAUAACAUAUUUGAAAGAGAAGCACUAAAAAUAAAAAUGGAAAUAUCAAAUAUAUGGCACAACAAAAUGGAAAUACGAAUAAGUACGUACUGGUCCAUGAUAAAAAAUAAAGGCCAUUUUGAAAAAUAUUCUAAAUGGUUAAGAUCAACUCCAAUGGUAAUACCAAAACAUAUACAGAAAAAAGAAAUACCAAAUGAAAAUAUCGAUCAGAAAUCAGUUAGAGAAAGGGCCGUAUUGAAUGACUUCAAUAUCCAAACAGAAUUGCAGUCAUUACGUGCUUCUUCAAACUGUGAGAAAUUCAAGCGCAUCGACGAAGAAAUAUUUAAAUUGAUACAUUCAAAAUGCAACGGAAGAACAGCACGGACACUGGUAGAACUUCGGAAAACGGAAACGCAACGAAAUGAAGAAAUUUCACAUAAAAGAUGGGGAAACAAUGAAAAAUGGCUUUCAAAAUACGAAGAAGAAUUCAUAAAGGAACAUGAAAAGAAAAAUCCAUUCUUUAAAAAACCAGACUUCGUAAACAAAAAUCAACCCUCUUCAUAUGCGGAUGCUGUCCGAAAAAAUACCACCAACUACCAAAAUCUGAAAACAACAUACAACUACAACAGUCAAGAAAGAAACACCAAUAAACAACAUUCGCAAAGAAAAAACCUACAACAAAAUCAAACAAGCUGUUUACAAAAUAUAGAUGUGGAAAGUAUUGUAAGAGAAGUUCUUUUAAAAAUAAUAAUCCCAACAUCGAAUUACAUAACAAUUUCCAAAGAAACAAUUCCAUUUCAAACAGAAGCAAUAUAAGAGAUAACACAAGGUCUUCAUACAGAAGAAACUAUAGAAACAACAACAAUACGAGCGACGACAUAUUGCAAGAUAACGACGACAAACCAAGCGAAUUUAACGUUGAUUUUUUAGAAGGAGGCAGGGAGUGGAGCAGUCCGACAUAGAAACUUUAGGAUUAGUUGGUGAGGAAUAUUUCCGCGAGUGUAUGAUGACGAUGGGUGAUCGCUGGUCCGAGGAGAUGGUGGAUGACCUAUUUCUGCGAUCACCAAUCAAACAGGGCCAACUCGACUAUGUGGAGUUCACGCGCACUCUCAAACACGGA